rnacentral:rRNA from 1 species
GACGAACCGUCCAAACGUUAUUCGGAAUCACUGGGCUUACAGAGUUCGUAGGCGGUCUGGAAAGUUGGGUGUGAAAUCCCUCGGCCUAACCGAGGAACUGCGCUUGAAACUACCGGACUCGAGGGAGAUAGAGGAAAGCGGAACUGAUGGUGGAGCGGUGAAAUGCGUUGAUAUCAUCAGGAACACCGGUGGCGAAGGCGGCUUUCUGGGUCUUACCUGACGCUGAGGAACGAAAGCCAGGGGAGCGAACGGG